UACGUAGGCAGCAAGCGUUGUUCGGAGUUACUGGGCGUAAAGCGCUUGUAGGCGGCUUGUUAAGUUCCGUGUGAAAUCCCCAGGCUUAACCUGGGAAGUGCGCGGAAAACUGGCGAGCUUGAGUGCCGGAGAGGGUCGCGGAAUUCCCGGUGUAGAGGUGAAAUUCGUAGAUAUCGGGAGGAACACCAGUGGCGAAGGCGGCGAUCUGGGUCGAUACUGACGCUGAGGUGCGAAAGCGUGGGGAGCAAACAGG
rnacentral:rRNA from 1 species